rnacentral:lncRNA from 1 species
AAGCAUUGUAGGUGUUGAUUUUAAGAUCAAAACACUCACAAUAGAGUCAAAUCUUGUGCUUUCUGUUCUUGAAAUUAGACCUUUUGUUUAAACCCAGCAGCAUGUGAUUAGCACAGAUAGAAUGAAAUGUCUCUCAUGUAGUGUUGUGGUUAUUCUUUGACCAAAGUGACUAAUUUAAGUGGUAUAUUGACUAAACAUAACAUUACAUCUAUUGCAGCAGGGCAGGAAAGGUUCAGAACUCUCAUUGCAACUGAUUUGUGAGAAAUGGACUUCACUUCUAGCACUUUCACGUGUAAAGUAUAAUCAUAAAAUUAUUAAAAUGUCCAUUUUCAGCACCAUGAUCAUUUUACUAUGCGUGUGUUGGGUUCUACAUCUGUUUCCCACCAAAAUCAUGUCAAAUACACCUGUCAUGGGCGAGGAAACGUAGAAUCGAACACAAGCUAGGCUAGGUUUGUUCAUUUUAGUAAACUUUGUCUAAGUUGCAUGAUGCAGUCUAAGAAUCUAUUAGAAAAUUAUGGUAUUAUAUUCUUUCUUUAUUUUUUUCUUAUUAUAUUGUCAAACUAUUUUUUGUUCUGAUUUUGUUUUUUUUUCCCCAAUCAGAGCAUUAUUUUGAAUAUGCCCUUGUCAAAUUUUGUACUGUUAUAUGUUAACGAUUAUUGUUUGAUUUUAUACUUUGC